UACGGGGGGAGCAAGCGUUAAUCGGAAUUACUGGGCGUAAAGCGUGCGCAGGCGGUGAUGUAAGACAGAUGUGAAAUCCCCGGGCUCAACCUGGGAACUGCAUUUGUGACUGCAUCGCUGGAGUGCGGCAGAGGGGGAUGGAAUUCCGCGUGUAGCAGUGAAAUGCGUAGAUAUGCGGAGGAACACCGAUGGCGAAGGCAAUCCCCUGGGCCUGCACUGACGCUCAUGCACGAAAGCGUGGGGAGCAAACAGG
rnacentral:rRNA from 1 species